UACGGGGGGGGGGCAAGCGUUUGUUCGGAAUUACUGGGCGUAAAGGGCUCGUAGGCGGCCAACUAAGUCGGACGUGAAAUCCCCAGGCUCAACCUGGGAACUGCGUCCGAUACUGGAUGGCUUGAAUUCGGGAGAGGGAUGCAGAAUUCCAGGUGUAGCGGUGAAAUGCGUAGAUAUCUGGAGGAAUACCGGUGGCGAAGGCGGCAUCCUGGACCGAGAUUGACGCUGAGGCGCGAAAGCCAGGGGGAGCAAACGGG
rnacentral:rRNA from 1 species